UAGCCAAUGUCACUACUGUCAUG
rnacentral:miRNA from 1 species